rnacentral:rRNA from 1 species
UAGGGAAUCUUCCGCAAUGGGCGAAAGCCUGACGGAGCAACGCCGCGUGAGUGAUGAAGGUCUUCGGAUCGUAAAACUCUGUUAUUAGGGAAGAACAAAUGUGUAAGUAACUAUGCACAUCUUGACGGUACCUAAUCAGAAAGCCACGGCUAACUACGUGCCAGCAGCCGCGGUAAUACGUAGGUGGCAAGCGUUAUCCGGAAUUAUUGGGCGUAAAGCGCGCGUAGGCGGUCAAUUAAGUCUGAUGUGAAAGCCCCCGGCUCAACCGGGGAGGGUCAUUGGAAACUGGUUGACUUGAGUGCAGAAGAGGAGAGUGGAAUUCCAUGUGUAGCGGUGAAAUGCGUAGAUAUAUGGAGGAACACCAGUGGCGAAGGCGACUCUCUGGUCUGUAACUGACGCUGAGGCUCGAAAGCGUGGGUAGCAAACAGG